rnacentral:rRNA from 1 species
UACGUAGGCAGCGAGCGUUGUUCGGAGUUACUGGGCGUAAAGAGUGCGUAGGCGGUUUUCUAAGUUUGGUGUGAAAUACUCCCCGCUUAACUGGGAGGGUGCGCCGAAAACUGGAAGGCUUGAGUAUGGGAGAGGGUAAGGCGGAAUUCCUGGUGUAGCGGUGAAAUGCGUAGAUAUCAGGAAGAACACCCGUGGCUAAGGCGGCUCUCUAGUACGGUACUGACGCUGAGACGCGGAAAGCGUGGGGAGCGAACAGG